rnacentral:rRNA from 1 species
AUUGAACGCUGGCGGCAUGCCUUACACAUGCAAGUCGAACGGCAGCACGGGGGCAACCCUGGUGGCGAGUGGCGAACGGGUGAGUAAUACAUCGGAACGUGCCCAGUAGUGGGGGAUAGCCCGGCGAAAGCCGGAUUAAUACCGCAUGCGACCUACGGGUGAAAGCGGGGGAUCGCAAGACCUCGCGCUGUUGGAGCGGCCGAUGUCAGAUUAGGUUGUUGGUGGGGUAAAGGCCACCAAGCCGACGAUCUGUAGCUGGUCUGAGAGGACGACCAGCCACACUGGGACUGAGACACGGCCCAGACUCCUACGGGAGGCAGCAGUGGGGAAUUUUGGACAAUGGGGGCAACCCUGAUCCAGCCAUGCCGCGUGCGGGAAGAAGG